GGUGGAACCAGGGAGAGAAACAGUCCUCUUGUAAGCCACUGGUUCUCAAAUUUCGAUUUUCAUCAGAAUUCCCUGGAGUAUUUACUAAAAUACAUAAUGCCUGAUUCCAAGGUCAAGAGUUUGGCCCGAGAAUUUGUGCACUUAAGAAGUGGCCAGGGGACGAUAGUGCUGGUCCAGAACCACACUUUGAGGAAUACCUAGGUGAGCAAUCAAGCGCAUUACCUUCAGCGGAACGAAAUGCAGUCAACACAGCGGAUUUGAUCUGACAAGGGGAAAGGGCCAGGAACAGCUGUAAAUCGUCAGAACUGCGAUCACAGAGACAGUCAGGCGGCCUGCUCUGCCAUCCGAGGGAGCUGGAUGUGGAACAGAAAUCACUUCUGAGAAGCAUCCAAGAGGAUUCAAAGGUCAGCUCUAAGGUCCUGCUAGGCCACCAGGACCCGAGUCCUUGCACACCACGUGGCUCGGCCCAGCUCCUCCACUGGGGCUUCCUCAGCGCUGUGCUCCGAGGGACUCUCUGCUAGCUUCCUCACUGUGCACCAGAGGACUUAGUAUUAUUCUGGCAACUGUUCUGUGAGUUUUCAGUUAUUUUUAAAACAAGCACACAAUCAGAACCACCGAGGGCGCGUCUGCACCUAGUACGUCCGCACCUUUCAGGUCUGCUUCACCUGAUAACCAUUCCUGUGACCUUCCAAAACCACUGGCCUUUUCUUGGUCUACUUUUCCUUAUUGCAAAAGGAAAGCUGUGGAUAUUAACCUACAAUCAUGUCGAUUUUCUGCACAGGCUUCUAUCGUGCCCAUGUGCGGUUAUAGUCCACAGGCAGACAGCCCAGUGCCAAGGCUGGCUGACGGCAGACUCAUCACUACAUAGCAAAGGGCUUAUGAGAUUCUCACCUCCAUGAAUGUUCACUGGAAUUAACUAAAGGUGCUUAUUGUUUUAUUCAAUAAAUUUUAUUUUAUUUUAUUUUAUGC